AGUGAACGCUGGCGGUAGGCCUAACACAUGCAAGUCGAACGGCAGCACAGUAAGAGCUUGCUCUUACGGGUGUCGAGUGGCGGACGGGUGAGGAAUACAUCGGAAUCUACUUUUUCGUGGGGGAUAACGUAGGGAAACUUACGCUAAUACCGCAUACGACCUACGGGUGAAAGCAGGGGAUCUUCUGACCUUGCGCGAUUGAAUGAGCCGAUGUCGGAUUAGCUAGUUGGCGGGGUAAAGGCCCACCAAGGCGACGAUCCGUAGCUGGUCUGAGAGGAUGAUCAGACACACUGGAACUGAGACACGGUCCAGACUCCUACGGGAGGCAGCAGUGGGGAAUAUUGGACAAUGGGCGCGAGCCGGAUCCAGCCAUACCGCGUGGGUGAAGAAGGCCUUCGGGUUGUAAAGCCCUGUUGUUGGGAGAGAAAAGCAGCAGGUUAAUACCCCGCUGUUCUGACGGUACCCAAAGAAUAAGCACCGGCUAACUUCGUG
rnacentral:rRNA from 1 species